UCAAUGUUGACAUACAAGGAUGUUUGGUUCGCCCAGACUCCUCAUUUGUCAAAGUGGCUUAUGGGAGCUGAAUGUCCCAUACAGGACUGGAGGUAUUAUAUAUUCCCUUUCCACAACAUUGUAGAACAACUGGCAACCAGGUCAGAAAUGUCCAGGAAAGCUAGACCCUGUAUAUUCCAUAACUUUCCCAGAGUUACUAUGUAACACUGACUGGGGAGACAAACCAUAUAGGGAACAAAA